CCUACCCUUCAGCGGGGGAUAACCAUCGGAAACGAUGACUAAUACCGCAUAGACGACAGAACCGCCUGGUUCAAUCGGGAAAGACGGCUUCGGCUGUCACUGAAGGAUGGUCCCGCGCUGCAUUAGCUAGUUGGUAAGGUAACGGCUUACCAAGGCGAUGAUGCAUAGCCGACCUGAGAGGGUGAUCGGCCACAUUGGGACUGAGACACGGCCCAAACUCCUACGGGAGGCAGCAGUAGGGAAUCUUCCGCAAUGGACGCAAGUCUGACGGAGCAACGCCGCGUGUGUGAAGAAGGUUUUCGGAUCGUAAAGCACUGUUAUUAGAGAAGAACAGCCGAUAGAGUAACUGUUAUCGGUUUGACGGUAUCUAACCAGAAAGUGACGGCUAACUACGUGCCAGCAGCCGCGGUAAUACGUAGGUCACAAGCGUUGUCCGGAUUUAUUGGGCGUAAAGGGAGCGCAGGCGGUUUGUUAAGUCUGAUGUGAAAGCCCACGGCUCAACCGUGGAACGGCAUUGGAAACUGGCAAACUUGAGUAUAGAAGAGGAAAGUGGAAUUCCAUGUGUAGCGGUGAAAUGCGUAGAUAUAUGGAGGAACACCAGUGGCGAAGGCGACUUUCUGGUCUAUAACUGACGCUGAGGCUCGAAAGCGUGGGGAGCGAACAGGAUUAGAUACCCUGGUAGUCCACGCCGUAAACGAUGAGUGUUA
rnacentral:rRNA from 1 species